UCCAACUAAGAGUCAAGCUAAUAAAAAAAUGCCAAUAAAUAAAUAAACCAAAUGCACGUAACACCCAAUACCGGAAAGCAUUGAUUAAUCAAUUGCGCUGUGGCAUGGGCAUAAAGCACACGCCACCCUAAACUACACGCCACCAAGGCACGAAGCUUACACUCAAAUGGGUUGAACUUUCACUCAAGUGCAGCGCAUGCGGCCGACACCACACACAAUACACAUUCCUUUGCAUGUCCUGCGCUAUCAACGCAACGCCGUGCCACAACGAAUGGGGCAUGCAACGGAAUUCAGUAUCCGCGAAACAUUCAAUACAAACGGUACAAACGGCAGCCGACGAGCUAGUUACGCGCGCGUCAGUACUGCUUCCAUGCUGGCCACAACACAGCCUAUGCACAAGCAGCAGAAAGAAUGUGAAAUGAAAUAAUAACAACAACAACAAGAAAAAAGGCAAAAAUGUGACAAGUGUAUAAGAAAAUUUGUUCUGCAGCAUUUAAUAGAAAAGUCACAAAAAUAACAACAAAAUAACUAGCCAGCGUCUACUAAACAUAUCAUCAAACAUAUUGCGCUGUUAGUGCGGAAAAAAAUAAAAAUAACUAAAAUAAAUU
rnacentral:lncRNA from 1 species